UACGAAGGGGGCUAGCGUUGUUCGGAAUUACUGGGCGUAAAGCGCACGUAGGCGGAUUGUUAAGUCGGGGGUGAAAUCCUGAGGCUCAACCUCAGAACUGCCUUCGAUACUGGCAAUCUCGAGUCCGGAAGAGGUUGGUGGAACAGCUAGUGUAGAGGUGAAAUUCGUAGAUAUUCGCAAGAACACCAGUGGCGAAGGCGGCUCACUGGCCCGUAACUGACGCUGAGGCACGAAAGCGUGGGGAGCAAACAGG
rnacentral:rRNA from 1 species